rnacentral:lncRNA from 1 species
AGGUACAAACAAAUGGAAGACAUUUUAUGUUCAUGGAUUGGAAGAAUACUGUUAAAAUGUCCAUACUACCCAAAGCAGUUUACAAACUCAAUGCAAUGUCUAUCAAAAUUCCAAUGGCAUUUUUUUUUACAGAAAUAGCAAAAACAAUCUUAAAAUUUGUGUGGAAUCACAAAAUACUCUAAACAGCUAAAGCAAUCUUGCAAAAGAACAACAAAUCUGGAUAUAUCACACAUCCUGUUUUAAAGUAUAUUACAAAGCUGUAGUAAUCAAAACAAUAUGAUACAGUCAUAAAAACAGAUACAAUGAAACAGAAUAUAGAGUCCAGAAAUAAACUCACACAUAUGCAGCCAACUAAUCUUUGACAAGGGGACCAAGAAUAUACAAUAGCAAAAGGAGCCUCUUUAGCAAAUGGCGCUUGGAAAGUCGGAUAUGUACAUGCAGAAGAGAGAAAUUGGACCCUUAUCUUACACCAUAUACCCUUAUCUUACACCAUAUACCAAGUGACCACAGUAUCAUCUCACAAGCCAGAAAACUCUGCUCAAAAGAUGCCAACUGUCUGCCAAUCAAAUGAAACAAGAUAAUUGCUAAGUCCCAACGAGACAUUUUAGAACUUGACACACACUGCACAAUUCAUCUGGAAGAAAAAGCACAUGGUCACCGCAGGGCCUUUCACAGGGCCGGUGAAGAGGAGGGUGGGCCUGUCCUGGCAGAUGUGAAAAGGCCACAGAGCUGCAGGUGGAGACAGCAGAGCACAGAAGGGGCCCCUACGGCAACUAAGAGGCAGGCAUAUGCCCACCAGGGAAAAGAAAUGGAUUACUCGAUCACGCCCAUUGUUUGGGGAUAGAUCUAGAUAGCUGGCUCUCAAACCUUACACAAAAAUUAAUGCUAGAUUGGUUAUACAAUUACAGGUUAAGCAGUAAUUCAUUAAAACGGUGGUGAGAAUCUGGGCAAAGGCUACCCUUGCAUACAUAAGCCCAGCAAGGGACUGCUCUCUACGCACUCCAGCAAGCCAGGCCCUGAGGAAAGGACACGUGGAUUUCACAACACGAGAAAAACUUCCACGUGCAAACUGCAAACUGCAAGACAGUUAUUUGCACACAAGGCAUAGGAGAAGUUGCUGUGCUUUAGAGAGUUCCCAUCCAUCAGGAAGAGCAAACAUCUCCAAUGAAAAGGGACCAGUGGAGGCCGGGCGCAGUGGCUCACGCCUGUAAUCCCAGCACUUUGGGAGGCUGAGGUGGGUGGAUCACGAGGUCAGGAGUUUGAGACCAGCCUGCCCAACGUGGAGAAACCCCAUCUCUACUAAAAAUACAAAAUUAGCUGGGCGUGGUGGCGCAUGCCUAUGAUCCCAGCUACUUAGGAGGACGAGGACAAGCAUUAUGCUGCCACAGUAGGUGAGGAAGAGCCAGGCUGCCUCAGUGGCCCCGAUGCCCACCUCCCAACAGGCCGAUCUGGAAAUGUUGGGAAAGUGGCCUGAAUCUGGAGAGAUUUUGGGAAAUGAGGGUGCCCCUCACCAGCACCCCAGGCCUGCGCCUUCGCCCUCAGCAGCAGCGGAACCCUUGCCUCCCAGCCUGAGGGCCGAC